AUGACCCGGAAUACCCUAGCCACGGCCACGAGCCAUGAUAAGCAAGCCCCCACCCACCAUCGUCCCCUGGUUGUUGAGGACUUGAAGAUGCAGUUGUGUUUAAUCUACUUACUCUUUCUGCUCGGGAGGCUGAGGUUCCUACAUUUCCAGCUCAUGCUGGACUGUACCCAAAGAAGGUCAUUACCUGAUAAGAGGAUCAAUUCAUUAUGGAAAUUAACAAUCUGCUUGACCAGAAGCAUCUUGAUUGGAAUCCUCAUAACAAGAACUGAAACUAGGUAAGUAUAAAUUUUUACUAUUGUAAACUAUAAUUCUGCAGUGGACGACUUCUCAUUUUUGCAAAGCCCUUUUUAGCAUUGGAAAUUCUGGGAGACCACAGAGAACAGAACGCAGAGAAGAGGAGCAAGUGGCAGCAAUCAUCUUCAGAUGGGCACUUGACGAAUUUGUCUGUUACAAAACCCCAAUCCCAGAAAUACAACUUAG
rnacentral:lncRNA from 1 species